GAUGAACGCUGGCGGCGUGCCUAAUACAUGCAAGUCGAGCGAACGGACGAGAAUCUUUCUUCUCUUAUGUUAGCGGCUGACUUGUGAGUAACACGUGUAUAACCUACCUAUAAUACUUGUAUAACUUCGGGAAACCGUAUCUAAUACCGGUUAAUAUUUUGAACCUCAUGUUUCAAAAGUUAAAGACGUUCUUUCUGUCACUUAUAGAUGUUUCCUGGCUGCAUUAGCUAGUUGGUAAGGUAACGGCUUACCAAGGCAACGAUGCAUAGCAGACCUGAGAGGGUGAUCGGACACACGGGAAAUGAGACACGGAACAGACGACUACGGGAGGCAGCAGUAGGGAAUAUGACGCAAUGGGCGAAAGCCUGAAGGAGCAACGCAGAGUGAGAGAAGAAGGUCAUAGGAUCGUAAAACACUGUAAUUAGGGAAGAACAUAAGUGUAAGAAAAAGUGGAGAUAUUGACGGUACAAAAUAAGAAAGCAACGGCUAACUACGUG
rnacentral:rRNA from 1 species